UACGACUACAUAUCAGGCAUAUCAAUAAGCGGAGGAAAAGAAACUAACAAGGAUUCCCUUAGUAACGGCGAGUGAAGCGGGAAGAGCUCAAAUUUGAAAUCUUCAAGGUUUACCUUGACGAAUUGUAGUUUAAAGAAGUGUUUUCUGUUGGAAGUUUUGGUAAAAGUUCUUUGGAAUAGGACAUCAUAGAGGGUGAGAAUCCCGUAUUUGACCAUUAUUUCCAGCUUUGUGAUACACUUUCAAAGAGUCGGAUUGUUUGGGAAUGCAGUCCAAAAUGGGUGGUAAAUUUCAUCUAAAGCUAAAUAUUGGCGAGAGACCGAUAGCGAACAAGUACCGUGAGGGAAAGAUGAAAAGAACUUUGAAAAGAGAGUUAAACAGUACGUGAAAUUGUCAAAAGGGAAGCGUUUGACACCAGUGUUGUUUUCUCGAAAAUCAAUUAAAAAAAGUUGGAUUUUGUGUUGUAUUGACCUUAACAGCUUGCUUCACUCUUUUCCAGCUUUUUUUAAUGCACUUUUCGUUUAACAAGUCAACAUCAGUUUCUUUUGUUGUAAAAGGGUCAUUGGAAGGUGGCUUUCUCUUCGGAGAAAGUGCUUAUAGCCUUUGAUCUCUGCAAUCGGAGAGACUGAGGUCUGCAGCGUAGAUCCUUCGGGGUUAGAUACAUUUGUGCUAAGCUACAGCUUUUCAUAGACAACUUGUUGACUAUGUUUAGUCUUGUGACUUACCCGCUUAUGCUAUUUUACCUACGCUUAGGAUGUUGAGCGCAUGUCUCUCUCU
rnacentral:rRNA from 1 species